UGGGGAAUAUUGCACAAUGGGCGCAAGCCUGAUGCAGCCAUGCCGCGUGUGUGAAGAAGGCCUUCGGGUUGUAAAGCACUUUCAGCGGGGAGGAAGGCGUUAAGGUUAAUAACCUUGGCGAUCGACGUUACCCGCAGAAGAAGCACCGGCUAACUCCGUGCCAGCAGCCGCGGUAAUACGGAGGGUGCAAGCGUUAAUCGGAAUUACUGGGCGUAAAGCGCACGCAGGCGGUCUGUCAAGUCGGAUGUGAAAUCCCCGGGCUCAACCUGGGAACUGCAUUCGAAACUGGCAGGCUAGAGUCUUGUAGAGGGGGGGAGAAUUCCAGGUGUAGCGGUGGAAUGCGUAGAGAUCUGGAGGAAUACCGGUGGCGAAGGCGGCCCCCUGGACAAAGACUGACGCUCAGGUGCGAAAGCGUGGGGAGCAAACAGG
rnacentral:rRNA from 1 species